rnacentral:rRNA from 1 species
UACGUAGGGUGCAAGCGUUGUCCGGAUUUACUGGGCGUAAAGGGCGCGUAGGCGGCAAUUCAAGUCAUCUGUGAAAUCUCCGAGCUUAACUCGGAACGGUCAGAUGAUACUGCUUUGCUAGAGUGCAGAAGGGGCAAUCGGAAUUCUUGGUGUAGCGGUGAAAUGCGUAGAUAUCAAGAGGAACACCUGAGGUGAAGACGGGUUGCUGGGCUGACACUGACGCUGAGUGCGCGAAAGCCAGGGGAGCAAACGGG